AUACAUAAAUAAGCAUUAACUUAAAUAAUGUGUCAACAGUAAAAAAUUAAGAAAAUAUCAAUUUUGCCCCUAAAAUGAUUAUAGAUGAUAAAGGUCUUUAUUUUUAUAACACGUCAUUCGCUACGCCAGAAAAAGAAGGGGGCAUGGCGGUAUUAUCUGAGUUCUAAGUAUCAGGAGUGUUUGUGAUGUUUUUGAAAUAUAAAAGGGCAUCCGUGAUUUUUUUUCUUAAGGCAAGGGAUGUUUAUGAUUUUUAUUCAUCAGCUAACCAAGAACAGUAACAAAAAAAAUGAGGGGCAAUUUAGGAAUUUACAAGUUGGGAGCUUGUUUGGGUGUGUAUAUGAAUGUAAAAAUUCUAUUGGGUAUUAAGAAGGGAAUUUUAUGUUUUGUAUUCUCAUUUUAAGUAAGAAAAUACUAUGCACAAAACUAUAUAGCCACAUUUAUUUGGUAAAUAAUUACGAAUGAAAUUUAGUUGAAAAUUUAUAUUUUCACAAGAUAUAAACCACAAUCGUAAAAUGGAUAGAGAAAUACCAGUAAAAAUUAUAUUUUUGUUUCCUUUUAACUUCUAAAAUAUGAGAUAAAAUUAGGCUUAAUUACAUAAAUAUCCUUAAAUUAUUAUUUUUUAUUACUUUCAUUCUUUUAUCUAAAAAUGGCUCAUUUAUAUCAUUUAACUAUUGAAAAUUAUCACUUUCGCCUUCUCCGCUAGUAUUUUGUCUAAAAUUCAGCUAAAACUUAAUCACAUAACACCAAUUUGACUGAUUAUAUAUUUUUUAUGCCAAAUAUGUCAUAUGUUUUGGGAAAAAAAUACCACAUCUUUCACGGUAUCCAAUAGAAAAGCGCCCACACAGGCUCAAAGAAAAUUAAUGCCUGAAAUCUUUUGAUUCUCGAGUCCUGACCCUCUCUCUCUCUCUCUCUCUCUCUCUCUCCGCAUUACCCGCCCCCUCAACCUCAAAUAACCAAUCCCUCAUCACACCUCACACCCACCGACUUCCCGACUGCCGAAUGUUUUCGCCGAUUGAUGUGUUCAAUGAAAACGCAUGGCCUUCAAUGCAGCCACUCGUGGUGGUUUUCAAAGAAAUCAUUAGUGACUGGUUUUGUGAUUUUGGUUAAUGCAUGGUCGUGGGUGGGUUUUUAAAUUUAAUUUUAUUAUUGGCUUGGUUUAUGAAUCAACGAGGAAUGAAAUGGUUGUUGAGGAGAACCAAUCAAUCCUUAUUGUCUGCCCAGUAAGGCCAAUGGGUAACAGCUGUAGAUGUGCAAUCCGCCAUUGCCAUGAGUAAACCUGCACUAUUGUUCUUCUUAUUUCAUUCAUGGUUUGCUUAAUAGUUUUACUGUCUUUGGGAAAGAGCCCAAUAGAGUGAGGUGGGGCUGGGGAGGUUUUUGGUGUUAUUGUAGACGCACUUUCGCUUAGUGUAUGUAAGGCACGAAAAAAAACAAAAAAAAAAAAAACAUAUGAAUAAAAAUGUCACACAACAAGAAGGCAGGGGAUGCAGUCGGAGGGUCAUUAUCCCUCCACAAGGGCUAUCCCCCGAAAUGACAUGACAUUCUGCAGAAGCAAUACUACACAGCUAGUUUGAGCUCAGAAAAAGCACUGGCAGGGUUCCACCUACCGAGCUCGGGAAACAACUCUUGCUACGUGGCAGCACGCCUAUAGUCCGCGUCGUAGCUCGGGCGAUAACAGAAGUCUGACGGGAGUCCCCAACAGGUGGACACGCGGCAGCGAUACUUGCACGGCAUGGUACGAUUGACAGUCCAAAACACGGAUGCGGAGAUUCACGGGCAGCAGGGAGGAUAACCAACCUCUAUGCGAGAAUAAGGAUUAGGUGAACUGUCGAGACUACAGACCGUUGGCGCGUCAAGGCACGCGCCGAACUGAAACUAUAUAAGCAGAGGUCACGUAGAGGGGGAGGACUUUUUUUAGGUCUCUCUCUCGGGAUACUAAACAAUUAUUCCGGUCAUCUAAUUUGGGACCGUCGUGAAACAGCCGUUUCCCGGAGGAAAAAAGCCUCCGGCAGCCAGACUCCGUUGUCUAUGUAUAGUUACUGAAGUCGAUCGUCCAGUUUGGUGCCCUGCUUUGUGGAGGCAAAAGGAAGGGCUCAUAGUGGGUGUCUACUCUCGAUUUCCGCAUUGUAAACUUAUCCCCACAGUGUCUAUGGCUGAUUGGGCAUCCUGUGAAAGAAUAAUAUACGGCACAGCCGUGUACAAUGUAAUCCCUGAAAAUAUAUAUAGUUAGACAUUUGAAGUGACUUCCUCCUUUGGAUAGAUACAUAUAUAUAUUUCAAAUAAAAAGGAUUUAACAUUACUAUUCAAUAAGAAUAGCUAAAAUUUAAAUUUGACACAAUACAUGUAGAUUUUGAAUUUGAGUUUGGAAAUCAGAAGUGAUUUGAAUUUCGCCAUUGCUAAGGAUUAUAGUUAUAUAAGAUUAGAGCUUGGACAGAUACGAGUUAGGAGUCUAACCAACACCAAUCCAUGGUGUACCAAAACUUAUCCAACACCAUCCAAAUCU
rnacentral:lncRNA from 1 species